ensembl:snRNA U2 U2 spliceosomal RNA
AUCGCUUUUCCGUCCUUUGGCUAAGAUCAGGUGUAGUAUGUGUUUAUAUCAGUUUACCAUCUGAUGCGUUCUCUAUCUGAAAACAACAUAUUAAAUGAAUUUUUAGUGCAGGGAGAGGGAAUAGGAGCUUGUUCCAUCCGCGCAACGCGUUAACCCAGUAUUGCAAUAGUUUUGGGAAUGCUGCACCUCUC